AGGGCACCACCAGGAGUGGAGCCUGCGGCUUAAUUUGACUCGACACGGGAAAACUCACCCGGCCCGGACACUGGAAGGAUUGACAGAUUGAGAGCUCUUUCUUGAUUCAGUGGGUGGUGGUGCAUGGCCGUUCUUAGUUGGUGGAGCGAUUUGUCUGGUUAAUUCCGAUAACGAACGAGACUCUAGCCUACUAAAUAGAUCGUCGGCUUACAAACGCUGAUGAGACUUCUUAGAGGGACAGGCGGCGAUUCAGCCGCACGAAACAGAGCAAUAACAGGUCUGUGAUGCCCUUAGAUGUCCGGGGCCGCACGCGCGCUACACUGAAGUGAUCAGCGUGCAUUUUCAGCCUACUCCGCCAAGAGUGGGAAACCCAAUGAACCUUCUUCGUGAUUGGGAUAGGAGAUUGUAAUUAUUCUCCUUGAACGAGGAAUUCCCAGUAAGCGCGAGUCAUAAGCUCGCGUUGAUUACGUCCCUGCCCUUUGUACACACCGCCCGUCGCUACUACCGAUUGAAUGUUUU
rnacentral:rRNA from 1 species